rnacentral:rRNA from 1 species
GGACUACUCGGGUUUCUAAUCCCGUUCGCUCCCCAUGCUGUCGUGUCUGAAUGUCAGAACCGGGCCAGGACGCCGCCUUCGCCUCAGGGGUUCCUCCGGAUCUCUACGCAUUUCACCACUACACCCGGAAUUCCACGUCCCUCUCCCGUUCUCUAGAACAGCAGUCUGGCAUAACCCCGCCCGGUUGAGCCGAGCGAUUUCAUACACCACUUACUGCCCCAUCUGCACACGCUUUACGCCCAGUAAAUCCGGAUAACGCUCGCCACCUACGUUUUACCGCGGCUGCUGGCAC